rnacentral:tRNA from 2 species
GGCAAUGUGACCGAGUGGUUAAGGUGUCUGACUCGAACUUUUGAAUUUUCUUGAGAUUAAUUCAUUUAAGUGAUCAGAUGGACUUUGUCCGCACAGGUUCAAAUCCUGUCAUUGUCG